rnacentral:lncRNA from 13 species
AUGUCAUUUUUAAAAAUUCCCCCUCCCGACAGUAGGGCCUGCUCCAUUCCCCCUCCCGACAGUAGGGCCUGCUCCAUUCCCCCUCCCGACAGUAGGGCCUGCUCCAUUCCCCCUCCCAACAGUAGGGCCUGCUCCAUUCCCCCUCCCNACAGUAGGGCCUGCUCCCUUCCUUCUCCCAACAGUAGGGCCUGCUCCCUUCCUUCUCCCAACAGUAGGGCCUGCUCCAUUCCUUCUCCCAACAGUAGGGCCUACUCCAUUCCUUUUCCCAACAGUAGGGCCUGCUCCACUCCUUCUCCUGACAGUUCAAAGUGCAGUGCCCAGCUGAUAAUCACUCCAAUAAUUGCUUCGAAACUGAACCUAAACUAACCCAAAACUAAUUUCACACAUAACAGAGGAAAUAAAUGAAGCAAAGUAUGAAGGGGAGAAAAGGGGGAGAAUGGGUGAGUUGAGCAGCGAGUGGAAGCGAACGAGGCAUAAUUAUGUAAUCACCCAUUGAAGAACAGUGCGGACCAUUCCAUUGUAUUAAUCAAGUCUAAUUAUAGGCCUAAUCUCAAAAUGGUAUGUACCCUAUAUCAGUUCACCCAAUCAAAGCAGUCGUAUCGGUCUCCUCUGGCCUCCUUGGAGUAGGCUAUACACAGGGAGAGUGUGCGUAAUUGUACACGCUGAACGGCUUUCAAUAUCUGGGAAAAUAUCCACAUCGGCAUUAGGUGCGAAUGUGGUGAUGAGGCUUGUGGAACCUCACGUUGGCAAGGGGAGCAAUGUCACCACGGACAUUUUCUUCACUGUCAUUGGCGAACAAGUUGCUUGAAAAGAAAACCAGUCUGGCCGGCACCGUGAACAAAGUGAAACAGGAGCUCCCUCACUAUGGAAAAUAAGGCACCUGCACAGCCGCUGUGGUACAAAUGUCAACGGGACACAAUAAAAGGAGAAAAAGCGGAGACUAUUCCGCACUGAAACCAAACAAAGGUAUAAUCUGGAGAGGCAACUGAAGGAGACAGCCAACCUGUUGGUUGUUUGAUCAAUAGGACUCAAGGACUCGUGUGGUAUUUACAUAUUUGCAGGAAACCAUUUGAGUUUCUUGUGACUUUUGCUUGCCACGGCUUUCUAAACAAUGAUCUGAACAGAACGGUGCUGUACGGCUGCCUGUACAGUGGAGCUCAACAUCAAAAGUGACAGGCAUAUGACCAUAUGGCACAGCUAUUUGCAUAAUAGGCCAACUCUAGCUGUGAUUGGUUGACGCACCAGUCUGUGUAGAGUCCAGGCCUGGACAAGACUGACAUUCUACAUUCUAUGAAUGUACAUUCAAAAAAAAAUAUUCGUAUGUAUUUGCUCUUUGGUCACAAAAUUUGAAGUGAAAAUAAUUGAGUCAUAUUCUGAGGGUGGAUAUGAACAUAUUUUAAUAAGAUGGUGCUAAAUCUGUGUCAGUAGCCCUCUUCAGUCUGCCGAGGAACUAACAGGUGAUCAUUAUCAUACCAGUCAAAUAGACCCAAUCUGUUGCUUUUAGCACAUUCAACAGUGCCGUUUAAGGAUCAAUACUCUCUGGACAGGUCCAAUAGCAGCAAGCAGUAAUACCACAGCCAGUCCAUCUCCGCCUGCUUCCCCCCUCAGGCUGUGGAAACAACCAGGGCAAGCGAGCUGGGCUCAGAAUCAUCAUCAUCCUUGACCUCUAUAUAACUCCUGGGGUAUGACCUUUGAUGUCACAAAGACCUCACAAUGGCUGCCAUGUGCCUAAUGGCUUAAUCCCCAGAGACCAUCUGCUUGCUGCAGACCCGACCCUGCUUGAGGAGGGUCUGUGAGGGAGAGGAAAGGGC